UUAAUAAAAACAUUUCCAAGCUCAAUACUUGGUWGGCUCUGCCCCAUGCUUGUGUAAAUGGCCAUUUUUAUGCUAAGGUAGCAUAACUACUUGCUUCUUAAAUAGAUGAUUGUCUGAAAGAGUUAACUGUGAAUCUUUUUUUAUUUUUUAACAGUCAAAUUUUGUUUUUUGUAAAAACCCAAUUUAAAUAUAAAAGACGAGAAGACCCCAGAAUUUAUUAUUUAGCGAAUGUUUAAUGGGGCGUUGAUUUCUAUUUCAGAAUUUUUUUGGUUAGACGGAGAAAAAAUUACUCUGGGGAUAACAGGGCAAUUUAAAAUAAAGUUCAUAUUAAAAUUUAAGAUUGCUACCUCGAUGUUGAAUUAAGCUAAAUCCCCAGGGCAAAAAAUGGGGCUAUGGGCCUGUUCGGCCUUUAAAAGUUUACAUGAUUUGAGUUUAAACCGGCGA
rnacentral:rRNA from 1 species